CCUACGGGUGGCAGCAGUAGGGAAUAUUGCUCAAUGGGGGAAACCCUGAAGCAGCAACGCCGCGUGGAGGAUGAAGGUUUUAGGAUUGUAAACUUCUUUUGUUAGAGAAGAUUAUGACGGUACCUAACGACUAAGCACCGGCCAACUCCGUGCCAGCAGCCGCGGUAAUACGGAGGGUGCAAGCGUUAUUCGGAAUCACUGGGCGUAAAGAGUGCGUAGGCGGGGUAAUAAGUCAGAUGUGAAAUCCUGUAGCUUAACUACAGAACUGCAUUUGAAACUGUUACUCUGGAGUGUGGGAGAGGUAGGUGGAAUUCUUGGUGUAGGGGUAAAAUGCGUAGAGAUCAAGAGGAAUACUCAUUGCGAAGGCGACCUACUGGAACAUUACUGACGCUGAUGCACGAAAGCGUGGGGAGCAAACAGGAUUAGAUACCCUAGUAGUC
rnacentral:rRNA from 1 species